CGAGUUUGAUCAUGGCUCAGAACGAACGCUGGCGGCAGGCCUAACACAUGCAAGUCGAGCGCCCCGCAAGGGGAGCGGCGGACGGGUGAGUAACGCGCGGGAACGUACCCUUUGCUACGGAAUAGCCUCGGGAAACUGGGAGUAAUACCGUAUGUGCCCUUCGGGGGAAAGAUUUAUCGGCAAAGGAUCGGCCCGCGUUGGAUUAGGUAGUUGGUGGGGUAAUGGCCUACCAAGCCGACGAUCCAUAGCUGGUUUGAGAGGAUGAUCAGCCACACUGGGACUGAGACACGGCCCAGACUCCUACGGGAGGCAGCAGUGGGGAAUCUUAGACAAUGGGCGCAAGCCUGAUCUAGCCAUGCCGCGUGAGCGAUGAAGGCCUUAGGGUUGUAAAGCUCUUUCAGUGGGGAAGAUAAUGACUGUACCCACAGAAGAAGCCCCGGCUAACUCCGUG
rnacentral:rRNA from 1 species